UACAGAGGUCCCAAGCGUUGUUCGGAUUCACUGGGCGUAAAGGGUGCGUAGGUGGUGAGGUAAGUCGGAUGUGAAAGCUCGGAGCUCAACUCCGAAAUGGCAUUGGAAACUACCUUGCUCGAGGGUUGGAGGGGGGACUGGAAUACUUGGUGUAGCAGUGAAAUGCGUAGAUAUCAGGAGGAACACCGGUGGCGAAGGCGGGUCUCUGGGCCGAAACUGACGCUGAGGAGCGAAAGCGUGGGGAGCAAACAGG
rnacentral:rRNA from 1 species